rnacentral:rRNA from 1 species
UACAGAGGUCUCAAGCGUUGUUCGGAUUCAUUGGGCGUAAAGGGUGCGUAGGUGGCGAGGUUAGUCAGGUGUGAAAUCUCGGGGCUCAACCCCGAAACUGCACUUGAUACUGCCUUGCUAGAGUACUGGAGAGGAGAUUGGAAUUUACGGUGUAGCAGUGAAAUGCGUAGAUAUCGUAAGGAAGACCAGUGGCGAAGGCGAAUCUCUGGACAGUUACUGACACUGAGGCACGAAGGCCAGGGGAGCAAA